UUCCUACGGGACGCAGCAGUAGGGAAUCUUCGGCAAUGGGCGAAAGCCUGACCGAGCAACGCCGCGUGAAUGAAGAAGGCCUUCGGGUUGUAAAAUUCUGUUAUAAGGGAAGAAAGGUGAUUGGAGGAAAUGACUAUCAAUUGACGGUACCUUAUGAGAAAGCCACGGCUAACUACGUGCCAGCAGCCGCGGUAAUACGUAGGUGGCAAGCGUUAUCCGGAAUUAUUGGGCGUAAAGAGCGCGCUGUUGGUUAAUUAAGUCUGAUGUGAAAGCCGACGGCUUAACCGUGAAGGGUCAUAGGAAAG
rnacentral:rRNA from 1 species